UGGGGAAUAUUGGACAAUGGGCGCAAGCCUGAUCCAGCCAUGCCGCGUGAGUGAUGAAGGCCCUAGGGUUGUAAAGCUCUUUCACCGGUGAAGAUAAUGACGGUAACCGGAGAAGAAGCCCCGGCUAACUUCGUGCCAGCAGCCGCGGUAAUACGCAGGGGGCUAGCGUUGUUCGGAUUUACUGGGCGUAAAGCGCACGUAGGCGGACUAUUAAGUCAGGGGUGAAAUCCCGGGGCUCAACCCCGGAACUGCCUUUGAUACUGGUAGUCUUGAGUUCGAGAGAGGUGAGUGGAAUUCCGAGUGUAGAGGUGAAAUUCGUAGAUAUUCGGAGGAACACCAGUGGCGAAGGCGGCUCACUGGCUCGAUACUGACGCUGAGGUGCGAAAGCGUGGGGAGCAAACAGG
rnacentral:rRNA from 1 species